UACGUAGGGUCCGAGCGUUUGUCCGGAAUUACUGGGCGUAAAGAGCUCGUAGGCGGUUUGUCGCGUCUGCUGUGAAAACCCGAGGCUCAACCUCGGGCCUGCAGUGGGUACGGGCAGACUAGAGUGCGGUAGGGGAGAUUGGAAUUCCUGGUGUAGCGGUGGAAUGCGCAGAUAUCAGGAGGAACACCGGUGGCGAAGGCGGGUCUCUGGGCCGAUACUGACGCUGAGGAGCGAAAGCGUGAGGAGCGAACAGG
rnacentral:rRNA from 1 species